UACGUAGGGGGCGAGCGUUGUCCGGAAUCAUUGGGCGUAAAGAGCGUGUAGGCGGCUUGGCAAGUCUGACGUGAAAUCCCGCGGCUCAACCGCGGUAGGUCGUUGGAAACUGCCAGGCUAGAGUCCGGAAGAGGAGAGCGGAAUUCCUGGUGUAGCGGUGGAAUGCGCAGAUAUCGAGGAAGAACACCCGUGGCGAAGGCGGCUCCUCUGGGACGGUACUGACGCUGAGACGCGAAAGCCGUGGGGAGCGAACAGG
rnacentral:rRNA from 1 species